UUUUUUUUAUAAAAUAGAGCAAAGUUAAAUCCCUAAGUCCUCGAAAUGGUUAGUUCAAUGCCAUGAUGUUAUGAUGAUGUUAUGAUGUUAUGAUGUUAUGAUGUUAACAAGCACAAGCAAGUCACACAACCAUCAUUCCUAAGUUUUAAGGCUUGCAUGAGUUCCAUAGGUAAGUACCCUCCCCACUGAAGUUUGGUUGGUUCAAUCUGUCCUAGAAUAGUAACCGGGUUCUAGAAGGAU
rnacentral:lncRNA from 1 species